CUGCUGAUAUUAUUGCAGGAAAGUGUGUGGAUGUAAGCUGCAUCUUCAACACAACGUGCAAUGGAACAGCAGCACCUGUCUUAACUUGGGACACUCCCACUGAGGUACCUGGAUCAGUCUCAAACACUGUAACUCAGCAUGGUGUCACUCUGACCUAUACUUCUGUUCUGACCCUGACCCCAUCACUCAAACACCACGGACACACUCUCAGCUGCAGAGUGAGAUAUCCAUCUGUUUCAUCGGAGCGGACCCUCGUACUAACUGUGCAAGACAGUGGAGGAGAGAUUCUGCACGUGAUCCAGAUCCUGGGAAUACAAGCUGUGAUAUUCCUUGUGGCUGUGGUUAUCACUAUCGCUGGAGUCUGUGUCUGGGAGGGACAAACAGUGAAAGGAAGUCGACAGACUGUUUAAAGCUUUUGUACAGCAACAAUCUGCACAAACAGCAAUUUCCAAGCGGGCUCCCAUCAGCAGACAGAGUGCAAUGAAACAUCGGCAUGCCUGCUUCUUAAUGUACGGAGAGAAACCUGGAACGAGAGAUUCUCCUUCUUCUCCUCAGCAAGC